rnacentral:rRNA from 1 species
GGUGUGGAUAGGGGAGAAAUUCCAAUCGAACCCGGAGAUAGCUGGUUCUCCUCGAAAUAGCUUUAGGGCUAGCCUCUGGUUAGUCUGCCGCAGGUAGAGCACUGAAUUUCCUAGGGGGCGUCAAAGCCUACCGAAGAAUAUCAAACUGCGAAUGGCGGACAGAUGAUGCCAGGGAGUCAGACUGCACGAGAUAAGUUGGGUGGUCAAAAGGGAAAGAGCCCAGACCUACAGCUAAGGUCCCAAAGUGUGUGUUAAGUGGAAAAGGAUGUGGGAUUUCGAAGACAACUAGGAUGUUGGCUCAGAAGCAGCCACACAUUCAAAGAGUGCGUAAUAGCUCACUAGUCGAGAGGUCCUGCGCCGAAAAUGUCCGGGGCUAAAACACAACACCGAAGCUUAGGAAUUCUUUUGAAUUGGUAGAGGAGCAUUGAAGACGGAACGAAGCCAUACCGAAAGGAAUGGUGGACUGUCUUGAAGAGAGAAUGCCGGAAUGAGUAGCGAGAUUGAAGUGAGAAUCUUCAAGGCCGAAUAUCUAAGGUUUCCAGGGUAAAGCUGAUCUGCCCUGGGUAAGUCGGGGCCUAAGGCAAGGUCGAAAGACGUAGUCGAUGGAUAACAGGUUGAAAUUCCUGUACUGCAUCAAAUCAGAAAUGUGGGGACACAUGAGGGAAGCAUGAGCCGGAAAAGGAAAGUCCGGUACAAGCGCAGCAGAGGACAGAUAGGCAAAUCCGUCUGUCAACUCAAGGGCGUGAUGUGGAGCGAACCAAAGUAGCGAAGCAUGUGGAGCUUGUGUCGAGAAAAGCCGCUAUAGUGUUUGAUGUACCCGUACCGUAAACCGACACAGGUGGAUGAGGAGAGAAUCCUAAGGCCGGCGGGAGAAGCAUUGUUAAGGAACUCGGCAAAAUGACCCCGUAACUUCGGGAGAAGGGGUGCUCCAGAGAUGGAGCCGCAGAGAACUGGCCCAAGCAACUGUUUAGCAAAAACACAGGUCUAUGCAAAACCGAAAGGUGAGGUAUAUGGGCUGACGCCUGCCCGGUGCUGGAAGGUUAAGAGGAGAGCUUAGCGCAAGCGAAGGUUUGAAUUUAAGCCCCAGUAAACGGCGGCCGUAACUAUAACGGUCCUAAGGUAGCGAAAUUCCUUGUCGGGUAAGUUCCGACCCGCACGAAAGGCGUAAUGAUUUGGGCACUGUCUCGACAAUGCACCCGGUGAAAUUGAAAUACCAGUGAAGAUGCUGGUUACCUGCGCCAGGACGGAAAGACCCCAUGGAGCUUUACUCUAGCUUGAUACUGGGGUUCGGUAUUGCAUGUACAGGAUAGGUGGGAGACUGAGAAGAUGUGUCGCCAGAUGCAUCAGAGUCGAUGUUGGGAUACCACCCCUGCAGUACUGGGCUUCUAACCUGCAGCCGUGACCCGGCUGGGGGACAAUGUCUGGUGGGGAGUUUGACUGGGGCGGUCGCCUCCGAAAGAGUAUCGGAGGCGCUCAAAGGUUCCCUCAGAAUGGUUGGAAACCAUUCGAAGAGUGCAAAGGCAGAAGGGAGCUUGACUGCGACACCGACGGGUGGAGCAGGUACGAAAGUAGGACUUAGUGAUCCGGUGGUAUAAAGUGGGAUUGCCAUCGCUCAACGGAUAAAAGCUACCCUGGGGAUAACAGGCUUAUCACUCCCAAGAGUUCACAUCGACGGAGUGGUUUGGCACCUCGAUGUCGGCUCAUCGCAUCCUGGGGCUGUAGUAGGUCCCAAGGGUUGGGCUGUUCGCCCAUUAAAGCGGUACGCGAGCUGGGUUCAGAACGUCGUGAGACAGUUCGGUCCCUAUCCGGCGUGGGCGUAGGAUAUCUGAGAGGAGCUGUCCUUAGUACGAGAGGACCGGGAUGGACUGACCUCUGGUGCACCGGUUGCAUUGCCAAAUGCAUAGCCGGGUAGCCAAGUCGGGACGGGAUAAACGCUGAAGGCAUCUAAGCGUGAAGCCCCCCUCAAGAUGAGAUAUCCCAUAACGUAAGUUAGUAAGACCCCUUGA